CUAAACCGGCGCGUGCCGCCUAGAGUAUAGGCUCCGCCUACACGGAUACUGAGCGACCAAUGUCUUCACCCGCGGACGUGGACGCGCCUACUGGUGUGUACGCGCAUGAGCCAAGAUCGAUCAUUUGCGGACUUUUUUUGCUGGAACACGAACGUAAGUAAGAUUUAUUGAUUUAUUGCUAGAUUCACAGUAAAGAUCGGCCUUUGUGUUUCCAUCAUCAUUUAUGUAUGAUUGUAAUGACGUUGUUUGAUAUUAGGACUAGCAGUAAAACUUUAUAUUCUGUAAAAAAGGCUAUUUUAUUUAAAAAUGGAAAAGCAAUGUUUUCAUCCAAUCGCACCCAGACCUUGGCCAUAGGCAAUGACUUGCAGGCUGGUGGACUGGCGAAUGACAGGAGAGGAGGGGCGCGACAAGGAGAGAGAGGGAAAACAGAGAGGGACGAAGAUGGCGGCGUCCGUCCUCGUUAGGGAGGGAAAAUUGUUUUUUACUCAAGUAUAUGACUAACCGUCGUCAACGUGGAAGUCUCGUCACGUCAGAGAAGGACGACGCCAGCCUGUUGACUGCUGCAGUACGGAAGUGUUUGUGGCUAAUUUUAUAUUCUGUAAAAAAAAAAGGCUAUUUUAUUUAAAAUGGAAUAGCAAUUUCGGCAGAAUAUGUUAUGGUAGUUAAGUAAAGUUUCGUUGCUGUGUAUUUUUCUUGAUGCGACGCUCGGAACUGGUAAGUCACGUUUUUUAUGUCUCAUCUCCUUUUAUUUUUUUAAAAACUUUUUGGUUGUCGCUCUUAAAGUAUUAUAUAAGAAUGCACACUGUUUUGUGACUUGUUGAUAAGCAUGUGGGUUAAAUUCCGGGAUUAGGGGUGUUAAAUUGUUGUAAAAAACAGACUUUUAUAUGCUAAAUGCUGCCGCUAGCACUAAGCUAACCACGUGGAUUAGCUUAAUGGUAGCUAGCGGCAGUUAUUACGGUGUUUCCUGGUCUCGUGAGUUUGCGCACGGGCCAAAAACUCCGCUGCUGUGUGGACAUCUUGUGUGCCGCUGUCGUAUUAAUGUGAGUGUGUAUUAUUUCUUUCUUUAUUCUUUAGUGGAGAGAGAUCCUGUUUACUGUGGACUGUGUGUGACGCCCUGUUGUUUUUGUAUUCAUUCAAAAAAAGCAUCAUCUACUGCCUGGAUUUUUGCCUACAACUGCUCCUGCUGCGUUCGCUUAAUCAAUAAUAAGAAGGAGCCUGGAUCCAGCCUGGCCUACAGGCCAACAUGGCGAGGGGGAAGAAUGGGCGACAACAUUUCCUGCUCUGUGGCUGAGGUCCAGAUCCUUAGCCUGCUGGAAACUAUUAAACACACCCAAGACCAGCUGAUGGCGAAGGUCAACUUCUUAACCAGCAGGUUGACCAUUACCCCGGGGCGAGAAGUUGAAAUGCCGGCCAAUAUCCAGUUUCCACUGGAACAGUUGGAGGCAGUGGAGGCAUUUUUGAAUGAACCAUCAAAUGGCCCAGCUUGACAAAGAGUGAUUUCUUCUUUGGCCACCAUUGGAGGCCAGGAUGUGAAGCGGGUGACCUGGAACAUCCUGGGCAGGGUGUUCACAGAUGACGUUUCAGAUCAGAUCAAUUGAAAGGGUGUCAACAACAAAAAGGCCUUUAGCAGAAUGGCAACAAAGACCUUGCUUUUCAAGGCAGAUGAGGUGGUUCGGGCAUCUGGUCAGGAUGCCACCCGAACGCCUCCCUAGGGAGGUGUUUCGGGCACGUCCGACCGGUAGGAGGCCACGGGGAAGACCCAGGACACGUUGGGAAGACUAUCUCGGCCUGGGAAUGCCUCGGGAUCCCCCAGGAGGAGCUGGACGAAGUGGCUGGGGAGAGGGAAGUCUGGGCUUCCCUGCUUAGGCUGCUGCCCCCGCGACCCGACCUCGGAUAAGUGGAAGAAGAUGGAUGGAUGGGAUAUUGUGUAUUGUGUGCUGUGAGAAAAAAUGUGGUGACAAGGUCAGCCACGGACGCUGAGGUCACCAAACACGCCAUCAGGUGGUUCAACCUGGCGGAGGAUCGGGCAACCAGGAGACGAGUCCCGCCUCCACCUCCUCAGGAGGAAUAGAAAUGUAUCAAUUAAACAACCUUUUAUUGAA